rnacentral:lncRNA from 1 species
CUUUGCUGUUGGUGGGGGCAGGGAGCAUGGUACAGGGGUGACUGAGUUCCUGCUUUGUUAGUUCCCACUGAAACUGAUUGACAAAAAGGGCCUGGCACCUCUCUCUUCUCUCUCUUUCUCUCUCUCACCAUGUGAUCUAUGCAUGCCUGUUCCCGUCUGCUUGCACUAAGAAUGGAAACAGCCUAAGUUCCUCACCAGAAGCAGAGGCUGGCACCAUGUUUGUUAUGCAGCCUGCAGAACCAGAAAUCAUGGGAAAAACUGCCCAUUUCUGUUUUGUCCACUUUGCUUUGGGAAGUGAGAGCUAUAGUCAUUAUCACCACAUCCCCUGGCAUCCAAUUCCGCUCCUAGGAAGAAGGAACUUGCCUUGUCUCAGAUCAGACUUUUGGACUUGGACUUUUGAGUUAAUGCUGGAAUGGAUUAAGACUUCGGGGGACUGUUGAGAAGGGAUGAUUGGUUUUGAAAUGUCAGGACAUGAGCUUUGGGAGGGAUCGGGGCAGAAUGAUUUGUGUCUCCACUCAUAUCUCAUCUUGAAUUAUAAUCCCCAGGUGUGGACAGAGAGAACUGGUGGGAAGUAAUUGAAUCAUAGGGGCAGUUCCUCCCAUGUGUUCUUGUGAGAGUGAGUUAGUUCUUUUGAGAUCAGGUGGUUUAAGCCAGUUUUUCCUGCCCUCUCUUGCACUCAUGCACUCUCUCUUCCCUGCCACCCUGUAAAAUAUGCCUGCUUCCUUUCUCCAUGGUUGUAAGUUUCCUGAGUCCCCCCAGCCAUGUAAAACUGGGGGUCAAUUAAACCACUUUUCUUCAUCAAUUA